rnacentral:lncRNA from 1 species
AGCUGGCCAAGGUGGGGUUCACUUAAUGAGGAAAAGAUAAUUGUUUCUAUGGUCUGUUUUAAGCAAAGCAGGUCGAGAAAUUGAAGAAGACGAAAGAGAAGUCUUCACCCAAAGGCUCGAGGAAUGCACCCGAGGAAAAACCAGGAGCGCCUUUAGCCUUGGGCCAAAGUGGUUUGAGGCAAGGAUAAGAGAAAGGCAAACUUGGAGCCCAAAGUAAAUUGGAGCAAAAGGAGGAAAAAAAAGAACUGUAGAGGCAUUCAGAGUUAAAGGAGCCAAAACCCUGGACCAGAUUUUCCUGCAGCCCAGAAUCCGAAGGAGCCCCAAGAUCCUGGAUCCGGAUAAGUGUUGUUUCUCAUCAUUUUCAUUGGCUAGAAAUGUUUCUGUAGCAGACAUAAAACUGGCCAUUUUGUUUCCCCUGAGAAUUGUAUUUCCCCUGAGCAAAGUAGAGAACCUAGAAAGGACAGAGCUAUAUUUUACCAGGUUAAGAGGUUUGAAAGUAACAUCUGUUCAUUGGAGAAUUUGCAACAGAGAUGCCAGAGUGCUAGUUUGUCUCAAAGUACUAUCAGAAGAAGUUAGGAGGAAUGACGGAGCCCAGAAAUGAUUGUUAGUAAUAGAAGAUAAAUUUAUUUUCAAUCUGGGGCCUGGUUAGAGAAUUGCCAUCUAAUAGUAAAUUGUAUGGGAAGGUAAUUGGGAAAAAGAAAAGCUAUGGAGGAAAUUGGUUAGUGAUACAGUCACAAGGGCGAAUGGAAAGGCAGAUAAACAUUUUUAGCCAUUAUGAAUGAG